rnacentral:tRNA from 1 species
GGAGAGAUGGCUGAGUGGUUGAUAGCUCCGGUCU